ACACCCCUUGUGCUUCAGACACGCCCCUUGUGCUUCAGACACACCCCCUUGUGCUUCAGACACGCCCCCUUGUGCUUCAGACACGCCCCCUUGUGAGUCACACCAGUAACAGCUCAAGCAUGUUUCAUUUUCUUACAUUAUAUUUAAUGUUGUGUUUUUACGUGUCUAAGAGUGUGAACUGAUCACGUAAACACCAGCAUUAAGGUGUGAUUAUUGUAGGGGAGAGCGGGGAACGACGUAACGCAGGGCGAAAUGUAACAUGGACUUUUUAUGUUAUUACACAAGGUCGAGCAGCGUGUACUUCUGACCACAUCACCACAUUUACGAGUGACGAUCUGCAGCAAAGUUUCUCCUUGUUCUCAUCAAAUCUGUGUCAAAAAGGGUUUUAUUUUGGUUUCUGAGCCGUGUGUAAAUUACAGACUCCGACCUUAUAUUACUUUAAUCUCCAUCUUCUUGCCUACAACGCAGCGACAACGCAGCUCGGCUGUAACGCUUUACUUGGCUAUUAUGUAACAGUGUAAAUGAGAAAUCCUGCACCGAUUUGGCUUCAGCUCUCUGUACAAAUCCAUCACACAUCAGAGAGCUGGAUCUGAGUGAGUGUAGACUAGGAGACUCAGGAGUGGAGAAGCUCUGUGAUCUACUGAAGAAACACGAGUGUAAACUGGAGACACUGCG